UAUUGAAUAGUUAAUAACUAAGAUUCCAAUUCCAAUAGUUUAGUCAAUUACUAUGCAUAUAAGAUUUCUGUUAUGUGGGCCCGCUUAGCUCAGAGCUGCUCUAUUCCCGACUCGAAAUCCAUAAAGGACUUUAAGGGAGAUAAAAUAGGGGGCCCUAUACCAUACAUCCUGCUGCCUUGGGACGACUGCACGUUACAUCAUAGCAGCACGACCAAAUGGAGGUGGAAAGCCCUUGUAUAGGUUGGGCGCUAGCUAGCGCCUUCCUUAUACUAAUAUAAAAUGUUGGGCCUUCCCCUUAUUUAUUAGUAUUAGGCAAGUUGCUCGAGGACUUCUACUGGGAAUGAAAGUUCCCUAUUAUAGGAUCCCUAGUAAAGCCAAUUUAAUGAUGGCCGCUUAUCUGAGUAAGAAGACGAUGGCUCCUAUUAUUGGUGAGCGAUCUCCUCUACACGUUAUCUUUGGGCGUUUUACUCUCUUUCAAAGAGAUGACUAUUCAAACCUCAGAGUAUUCGGAUGCACGUGCUUUGUUAAAAUGCCAUCUCCUGCACAAGACAAACUGAGCCCUACAUCUCACUCUAUGUGUUUUCUUGAGUGAGGUUGGGGUACCCCUCUCUCAAAAGGGCUACAAGUGUUAAUGAUCCUUCUACACGACGAUUCCACCUUUCUCGACAUGUCACCUUUUUCGAACAUGUGCCUUACUACGGAGCUCGGGGCUUUUAGAUUCCCUGUGAUGGUGGGCCAUUAUGUUCCCUUGUCUCCCCUUAGAGGGGAGGGGUGGAACUAUUGAGGAGUUUAUGUGAGACAGCAUCAGAAUUCUCCGAUUUAAUAGAGUCAGCAAGAUCCGGGUGACCAGAGUGAUCAGCAGCUUGAUCAGCUUAAGGGGAAGUUUCGCAGGUUUGUGAAGACAGAUUCUCGUCACUCAGUUUUCAGAGCUGAGCCAACUGAUUCAGUGGUCUCCCUCUCUCCCUAUACUUCGAACCAAGACUCUUCUUCAGACU
rnacentral:lncRNA from 1 species